rnacentral:antisense_RNA from 1 species
GCUCGCGCCUCUCCGUCCACACCGCCCUGCAAGCUGAGGGAGUGGGUUCCGGCCUUGGCCAGCCCAGAAAGGGGCUCCCACAGUGCAGCGGUGGGCUGAAGGGCACCUCAAGUGCCGCGGAAGUGGGAGCCCAGGCAGAGGAGUCGCCGAGAGCGAGCGCGGGCUGUGAGGACUGCCGGCACGCUGUCACCUCUCAAUAACGCCCAUCCCAAUGUGUCCUGAGGAAUAAUUUUGGUCGUGUUCCUGGUACUCAGCCUUUCGUGGUUCCUGGUCAUUUUCAGAGUCUAACAUUCCAGCUUUUCCGGAAAUUCUAAGUCUGCAGUGGGGAGAAGUGGUGAGGUGGUUACACGCAUUCUGGUCCAUGUCCCUACCAAGUUUCUACUCUUCUUCCCACCAGGCUGCCUCUGACUUGAGGGUUCAAGGGAAGAAGAGGAAAGAGAUACUUUGAUGUAAAAGUUUUCAAAGAAAUGCUUUGGGCAGAAGAGACUCAUGGAAACUGGACACUAUAUCUGGAGCCAGGAAUAAUAGGAUCUGAGAAACAGUAACAAGUGUAAAACAAACUGGUCUUGAACUCCUGGCCUCAAGUAAUCCUCCCCACUGGGCUUCCCAAAGUGCUGGGACUACAGGG